AUACUAAUUUUCAAUUUUUUUUUAUAAAUGUUCGGGUCAAGUCCGACAAACGUUUUGAUAACGCGGCGAAGUGUUGUUCAAAGUUAAAACAUUGAACAGGGCAAAGCGACAGUCACACGGUCUCUAUUUAAUUAUUCAAUAUAUGUAAACACACCACCUCAAACCUACCACUUAUCAGUUUCAGACUAAACAUAUUUUGGGCGUCUAGCGCACAGCAAGGAAUUUCUGCCCUAGACUAAACACAAACAUUAGAAUUGUACAGUUAGCUAUGUGACCAGAGGUGUUCUCACGAUCUAUGAUUUUGUGCAGUAAUAUAAAAGGGACACCUCUGGCUCUGCGCCUCAGUUAAUACCUACUAUCAACUCCGCAUUCACGUCUACAUAUACGUUUACAGCAGUCGAGUGACAAACUUCGAUCAAAUCGUUUAAAGUUAAAAUGUCAUCGCGAACGUGUAAACAUGAUGCUGAUGCAUUUUGUUAUAUAUGUGGUCAGUUUAUAAAAGUUCGAGACACAAAAUUUAAACUGAAGACAUCUCAGGUUCUCUGUGAAGCGUACGAAGCUUAUUUUAAUUUUCCUGUUCGCAAUCAAGACAAGUCAUGGGUCCCACAUGUGGCUUGUAGUAGUUGUAAAAGAUCUUUGGAAGGUUGGUAUCGAGGAGAGAAAAGAUUUAUGAAAUUUGCAGUACCAAGAAUCUGGCGAGAACCGAAAGACCACGUUCAUGACUGCUACUUUUGCGUUGUAAAUCCAAAUAAAAGACGUAACGGAAACAAUGCAAAACCUCUUGAAUAUCCUAAUCUUGAGUCUUCUUCUGCUCCAAUUGCACACGACCUGACACGACCAAUUCCUUCACCACCAAAAAAAUUAUCUCCGAAAAGUUGCUCAUCUCUUAGUUCCAUUGAAAUCCGCAAAUUAGGCAAAUUUUCGCCGAUGAAAAAUUUCCAAAAUUGCUGAAUCACACCCAAAAAGCAAGUUGGAUCAGUUUUAAAGCAGUAGUAACUGGAUUCUUAGGAAAUAACAAAGCUAAAAACUACGAAAAAUUAGUUGAAGACAUGUUGAAAAAUUUUAAGGCCAUGGGUUGCAGGAUGUCAUUGAAAGUACAUAUGCUACAUGCGCACAUAGAUAAGUUUAAAAAUAACAUGGGGGCAUAUUCCGAAGAGCAAGGAGAACGUUUUCAUCAGGACAUCAAGAACUUCGAACAACGAUAUCAAGGCCAAUAUAACGAAAAUAUGAUGGGAGAUUAUAUCUGGGGUUUAUUGAGAGAAAGCACUUAUGAUCACAAAAGAAAGAGCAAAAAUGUACACUUUUAAACUAUAUUUCACUUUUUUAUAAGUUAUUUUAAUAAUAAAAUUUCAUGAAAAUGAUAAA